CUGCUCUCUCACUGCCCCACCGCGGCAGUGGGAGAACAGAGGAUGAGAAAGGUCAGGGAUCAAGGUCAGGACAGAGAGAUCACUUACCAAAUACUGUCUCAACUUUUUUCAAAUUUUUUACUGUUUUCAACUUCCAGUAAAUUAAUUUAAUUCAUUGCCAACUAAAAUUAGGGUAAGAUGGUGAGAUACAAAGACAAAAAUUAAAACAAUGUCUUUCCCCAACUACUUACCAGUCUCAGCUUCACUACUCUACCUCUUUUCUGCACAAGACAGUGCAGGAGAAUGGGGAAUUAGGGUUGCACUCUGUCUGUAACAGAGCCACUGCUUCCUUGUCACACCAUUCCCCUGCUCCAGCUUGGGUUCUUCACACAGAGCACAGUCCUUCAUGAACUGCUACAGCAUGGGCUCAUCUCCAUGGCAUGAAGAGUGUAGACCUGUACACAUGGGACACCUCCUCCUGCCCCUUCAUCUCAGACCUCAGUGUCCAUGAUCCUGUUUUACAUAUCUUCAUUUUUCUCUCCCCCUCCCUCUUGUGGUGUUUUUACCUUUUCUUAAAUACUGUAACCACACAUAUUGGACACCUGCACCUGACACAGUCUUGUAUCUUCUUUUGCUUUGCUUCGCUCUUCCUCGCUCAGUUAUGAUUCCACUCUUUUCUAAAAUGUUUGGAAAGUACAGAGAACUUUGCACCAGUGUUAUUUGAUUUCAUGACUAUUGCAACUGAAGUUGAUGGGCAUUAUUUUAUUUUUUUAUUUAUUUUAUUUUAUUUUAUUUUUUAUUUUAUUUUAUUUUACUUUAUUUUAUUUUAUUUUAUUUUAUUGAGAGCCACAGGUACUUCCAUCUCUCUAAAACUGAAAUCUUCUUAUUUUGGACAGAAGUCGUUGAAAGUUAUAAGCUUUCCUUCAAUUAGAAAUAUGUCAGAUCUGGAGAUUUUUAAAAACAAAUGUGCUGCAUGAUGUUAUUUGUCAGACACAUACUUGCAGCUACAGCUUGCCUUUACUGAAGCAAAUUAUAAUGGUAUUUCAGUUCCUUUUUUCCCCAGUUUUAAUAACUACUUAGGUGCUGCUCAUUAUAAAGGGACAUCUAAAUGGGGUUCAGAUCCAGGACCCUGGUCUGCUGCAUUCCUGCUGAGCAGCCUGCAACAAACUGCUUUGAGGUCUUGGCAAAUGUUUUUGGGCUUUGGAAGUGCAGGAAGAUGUCUGUGUGUGAGCAUAGUCCUGUUCACUCUCUUGCAUCCUUGUGUUCUGACCUGGGAGCAGUACUGAUCUUUGGGCAUCAGUUCAUGUCACCUCCAAAGGAGAGAACUGAACAGGGAGCAGACUGAAGCCUGCCUCAAGCUGCAGAACUAGUUUAGUGUAGAAAAUAUUAAUAUAUGUAGCAUUAUGUCAACGGUGCAACACUGCUGGGUCGUUCCCUAGACAAGCUAGAAGCAUCUGCAGCUGAGGUACUUAAUGGAGGCAUCUAGUGUAUCAAACUCCUAAUCAAAAUAUAACAUGUUUUUAAAUCUUGCAACCUCUAAGACAUGUUAGACUCAAGGAAAUCAUGUUGGUGCUUGAAUUUAAGACAUGGACAGGAUAGCCUCUUAUCUUGGUAGAGACACUUAAAAGUAAAAUAAUCUGAGACAACAGGACUAUACAAAUACCAUGAAUUUACUCUAAAUUGCUAAAAUUCAUCCAGAAUUUGUAAACCAAUAUUUAUUACAGUAACAACUUGGAUGUUUGUCCCAGUGGGGAGAUAAGAACUCUUCACAGUAGAAAAGGGGUAAGCUGGAAACUAAUGAAAUUCCUCCUAUUGCAAUUCUUGGCAGCUUUUUGCAGUCUUGAAAAUGUCCUUACUGGCACCAAACAUGAUGUGUUGGCUCACUGCUGGAUAAGAAUGACUAUUAUGUGCCAUGGCUGAGGUGAAUUAGAAUUAUGGUGGAGUAAAGAGUAAACACCUGCAACUUAAGUAUACUUUAUAUUAUAUAUCCAGUAUUAUAUACACUAAAGUCGUAUUUCACUUUCACCAGAGAUAUUCUUGCUGCUGCUGCUGGCUCAGAAAAAUGCAAUAGUCUGAUCUUGGCUCUAACAAGAUGAUUUCAUUAUGUAAAAACAGGCAGUCUUGAGAGGAAUUCCAGGCCUCCAGGCAUCGAAAUUCAGAUCCUUCUGAUCUCAGUGUCAAAACAUUCACUAAUAUCAAGGAGUCCCUGAUCCUCUUGUUGAAACCUGAUGACUUUAUUACAAAUCUCUCUUUGGAGAAAUUUUCUCUGUGCUUCUUGUCCAGUGAGCGAUAAUCAUGUUCUGUGUACUUCCUGUUUCCCACCUUUCACAUCUGGCAGCUGAAUUUCAAAUCCCUUACAUGUACUUCUUUUCCUCUGUCUCAACCAGCUAUUCAUUUUCCAGUUCUCCUUUUGACAAAAAAUUCUGCUUCUAUUGUAAGCAUGAUUUCCUCUAACGUUUUAUUUUGCUCAGCAAUGACAAAGCUUUCCCAUAGGCUUAGAGUGUUAUUUUAUCUACUGUGUUGGCUGGACUGUUGUGUCAGUUUGGGCACAAAAGUUUGAAAAUUAUAUUUAAAGUUGAGGUAUAGGUGAGAUGUAGCUGGAAGGGAAACAAUCUGAAGUAGUGAAAAAAUACAAUGUACGGGAAAGUAACAAAUCUGGCUGAGGCACUUGGUCUUUUGACUUUAGGUCUUGGCAUGUAGGGGGCACCACUGCCCUAGCUAAAAGCCUCAGCUCCAGGAGACUAUUUCUAUUUUAUACUGCCAUCUUUGAAAUAAUAGAUAAAAAUAUUUAUUGUCACGCUGAUGGACAUUGCAUGGAGCAAUCGUUAGCGCAGCUGAGAAGUGCUUUUCAGAAUGCAGUAGCAACAGCAAUUUUCCCACUUCUCUUUGUCUCUACAUAUGGAGUAUGUAAUUUUUCAUAUCAGUCUUUAUGCAGUUAUCAGAUCGAUAGGCUAUUGGUUUCAGUAAGUCUCCUGCAGCAGCUUCCAUAACUACAGCACUCUAUGCCUGGUAUUUAUCAUAAUAAUUGGGCUUAUUUCUUAAAAUCUCUGUUGCAGAAAAGGAGGAAGGACAAGAUCUCCCCCUCUGUCCUUAAACUUCAAAGGCUUUCUUUGAGAGAAUGCCACUGGAGAUCUAAGUAGUAAUUCUGAAUUGUUAAAUUAAAGGAGCCUCUGUUCUGCUAUGUCAAACCUCUUCCCAGUGAUGAUAAGUUUGCAGCCUUCUGUUUUUUGUUACUUAAGGAUGGUCCACCUGCACCACUUGCCCUGCUUGACAUGACCCGGAACUAUUUCCUGUGGAGCAAGCUGAGUACCUGACAUUGCUAAAGAAAAACCCGUGAUAAAGGAUUGAUUGUCUCAAAGGAGUCUUUGACGAGCUGAUCCUCACCUGCUAAGGCAGUGAUAACACAGGAUCUAGGUGGGAACAAAUCUUCUUCCUUCAUGAUAUUCACACUAACCCACAGUACAUCUCUCUCAGGGGAGCUUAGGAGAAAAUAGGAGUUAAAGAGAUUUACUGGGAUACAUGGUCCAAUUUGCUGCAUUCACAGACAGUUAUUUCUGUAAUCCCUUUAAAAACACGAUCAAGUGUUACAAGGUCACAUUUGACCUGGCUAGAAAUUGUGAUAACAGCAACUUCUGGGAUGCUUUCAAUUUUUGACUCCUUUUUGAAUUACACAUCUUUUUCUUAUUAACAAUCUAAAUGUAUUCACAGUCAAUUUAUCCUGUUCUUCCUCCCUCUCCCCUUGCCUUGUGGUUUAGGCAAAACAGUGCUCUGAGUUGUUCACUGAUAAUUUUCAGUAAUCUUUCCAUCUUUCACUUUUAUUGCUAACUGCAUCUGCAAGGAGAACUAUUCCUUCUGUAGGGAAGCUCUGUUAAUGAAUUGGGGUUUAAAAGUUCUGAGUACUUCCCAGAGGAAUAGAAAAACUGCUUAAGGUCAAGGAAAACUUUCUCAGUGCUGUAGUUAUGCUAUAAGAGUUGCAGUUGUUUGUGGUCAUGUUACAGUUCAGCUCAAUCUGUGCUCUUAAUAGCGUGACUUAGAAGCUAACAAGGUUGUUGCCAUGGUGCUGGUGUUGGCACGAUGAUAUUUUUUGGAGGUGGUGGUGAAGUUGUUUCAAAGAAGCCCUGGUCUCAUCCUCUGACCUGAAUGUCUGUCAGUGGCUGGAGGGCACUAGGUCAGUCUGUGAAAAGCACUGAACAUCCCAGUGUCAUCCAGAAGGAAUAUAGCUGUUCUGGUCUGAGCCUGCUCCUUGGCAUGAGCCAACGUAUGUGAAGGCGAUUGGUAAAUUCUUUUCGAAAACACACUCCCCAUCUGGCCUAUAGUGCUAAUGUAUCUGUGCUCUCAUUCCUUCUCACUGUGGAAGACUGACAGGGACGUUCCUAAGGCUGGAACUCCUGUGCUGCAGGUUGGAGGUGAUGGCACUGUAUUUCUGCAAGUGGAACCCCCAGGUAUGCAAGCAAGGUUUAAAUGUAGUAAUUCUGGGGACAUAUUAGUAUUUCUUUCAGCACAAAAUGAAACUGUGAAACUGUGCCUGCUGGUUCCUCCCUAAGCCUUGAGUUUGUAUUUGAUAUUUUUACUGGGACUAUUGAUAAAUUUGGCUCUCUGUAGAUUUUUCCUUAUUCAUUUUGCUUUUAGUUGGUUUUUUGUUUGGGUUUUGUUUGGGGGGAGGGGGGAAUGGAGUCCCCCUCAGGCUGUGUUGUGACCUACUGAGUUUAUAAUUGGAGGCAAACUGAAAUAGCACCACCAGAGAGUGCAGCGAUGAUCUCAUUAAAAAGUCAACAUUUGCUAAUAGAGAAAAACUGAUGUUGAAAUUCCUUUAGGUGGAAAUUCUUAACAAGAUGGGUUCACUAUAAUGAUCACUUACAUACCUAUUAAGGCUGUAUUUCUUUUUGAGAGUUCAUCCGUUUAUUGUUGAAAUGCUGAAUAAAGAUGCCAUUUCUUUACUAAUUUAUCAUUUAGAAGUGGACUCAUAUGUCAUUAUCUGCCAUGGAAGCAAAAAAAUAAAGGGCUUAUAAGUUCUGAA